rnacentral:rRNA from 1 species
GGUUUGAUCAUGGCUCGAUUGAACGCCAUGGGAUGCUUUUACACAUGCAAGUCGAACACCACAGCACGGACUUCGGUCUUAUGGCGAGUGGCGAACGGGUGAGUAAUGUAUCGGAACGUGCCUAGUAGCGGGGAUAACUACGCGAAAGCGCUAAUACCGCAUACGCGCCCUUCGGGGGAAAGCGGGGACCUUCGGGCCUCGCACUAUUAGGAGCGGCUGAUAUCGGAUUAGCUAGUUGCGGGGUAACGGCUCACCAAGGCGACGAUCCGUAGCUGGUUUGAGAGGACGACCAGCCACACUGGGACUGGAGACACGGCCCAGAUUCUACGGGAGGCAGGAGUGGGGAAUUUUGGACAAUGGGGAAACCCUGAUCCAGCCAUCCCGCGUGUGCGAUGAAGGCCUUCGGGCUGUAAAGCACUUUUGGCAGGAAAGAAACGGCACGGGAUAACACCCGUGCAACUGACGGUACCUGCAGAAUAAGCACCGGCUAACUACGUGCCAGCAGCCGCGGUAAUACGUAGGGUGCAAGCGUUAAUCGGAAUUACUGGCGCAAGCGUGGCGGCAGGCGGUUCGGAAAGAAAGAUGUAAAUCCAGAGCUUAAUCUUCUUGGAACCGGCAUUUUUAACUACCGAGCUAGAGGGCCGAGGAGGUGGAAUUCCGCGUGUAGCAGAAAUGUAGAUAUGCGGAGGAACACCACGGCGAAGGCAGCCUCCUGGGAUAACACUGACGCUCAUGCACGAAAGCGUGGGGAGCAAACAGGAUUAGAUACCCCGGUAGUCCACGCCCUAAACGAUGUCAACUAGCUGUUGGCCCCUGGCCCGGUAGCGCAGCUAACGCGUGAAGUUGACCGCCUGGGGAGUACGGUCGCAAGAUUAAAACUCAAAGGAAUUAUCGGGACCCGCACGCGGUGGAUGAUGCGGAUUAAUUCGAUGCAACGCGAAAAACCUCACUCUACCCUUGACAUGUCUGAACUCAGAGAUUUUGUUCUGCAGAGAAAUCAAACCGCAGCAGCACAAUGACAACGCCGAGCUUCGUAACGUGAGAUGUUAGCAGCUCCUGCAACGACGCAACCCGUCAUUAUGCGACAAGACCUAACGACGCCAAUGAUGAAAACGAGAAGGUGGAUGACGUCCGCAGUCCCCGCUGGCCUUAAAGAGUAUAGACGCUUGUUACGUCGCAUAAUGUCAGGUCGCGACCCGCGAGGGGAGCCAUCCAAGUCGACGAAUCGAUCGCAGUCUGCAACUCGACUGCGUGAAGUCGGAAUCGCUAGUAAUCGCGGAUCAGCAUGUCGCGGUGAAUACGUUCCCGGUCUUCUGUACACACCGCCCGUCACACCAUGGGAGUGGGUUUUACCAGAAGUAGUUAGGCCUAACCGUAAGGAGGGCGAUUACCACGGUAGGAUUCAUGACUGGGGUGAAGUCGUAACAAGGUAA